rnacentral:rRNA from 1 species
GGGAAAAGCUCAAAUUUAAAAUCUGGCGGUCUUUUGGCUGUCCGAGUUGUAAUCUAGAGAAGUGUUAUCCGCGCUGGACCGUGUACAAGUCUCCUGGAAUGGAGCAUCAUAGAGGGUGAGAAUCCCGUCUUUGACAUGGACUGCCAGGGCUUUGUGAUGCGCUCUCAAAGAGUCGAGUUGUUUGGGAAUGCAGCUCAAAAUGGGUGGUAAAUUCCAUCUAAAGCUAAAUAUUGGCGAGAGACCGAUAGCGAACAAGUACCGUGAGGGAAAGAUGAAAAGAACUUUGGAAAGAGAGUUAAACAGUACGUGAAAUUGCUGAAAGGGAAACGCUUGAAGUCAGUCACGUCAUCCAGAGAUCAGCCUUGCUUUUGCUUGGUGCACUUUCUGGUUUGAUGGGUCAGCAUCAAUUUUGAUCAUUGGAAAAAGGCUAGGGGAAUGUGGCAUCUUUGGAUGUGUUAUAGCCCUUGGUCGCAUGCAAUGGUUGGGAUUGAGGAACUCAGCACGCCGCAAGGCCGGGUUUAUUAACCACGUACGUGCUUAGGAUGCUGGCAAUAUGGCUUUAAUCGACCCGUCUUGAAACACGGACCAAGGAGUCUAACAUGCCUGCGAGUGUUUGGGUGGAAAACCCGAGCGCGUAAUGAAAGUGAAAAGUUGAGAUCCCUGUCGUGGGGAGCAUCGACGCCCGGACCAGACCUUUUGUGACGGUUCCGCGGUAGAGCAUGUAUGUUGGGACCCGAAAGAUGGUGAACUAUGCCUGAAUAGGGUGAAUCCAGAGGAAACUCUGGUGGAGGCUCGUAGCGAUUCUGACGUGCAAAUCGAUCGUCAAAUUUGGGUAUAGGGGCGAAAGACUAAUCGAACCAUCUAGUAGCUGGUUCCUGCCGAAGUUUCCCUCAGGAUAGCAGAAACUCAUAUCAGAUUUAUGUGGUAAAGCGAAUGAUUAGAGGCCUUGGGGUUGAAACAACCUUAACCUAUUCUCAAACUUUAAAUAUGUAAGAACAAGCCGUCUCUUGAUUGGACCGCUUGGCGAUUGAGAGUUUCUAGUGGGCCAUUUUUGGUAAGCAGAACUGGCGAUGCGGGAUGAACCGAACGCGAGGUUAAGGUGCCGGAAUUCACGCUCAUCAGACACCCCAAAAGGUGUUAGUUCAUCUAGACAGCAGGACGGUGGCCAUGGAAGUCGGAAUCCGCUAAGGAGUGUGUAACAACUCACCUGCCGAAUGAACUAGCCCUGAAAAUGGAUGGCGCUUAAGCGUGAUACCCAUACCUCGCC